rnacentral:rRNA from 1 species
GAUGAACGCUAGCUACAGGCUUAACACAUGCAAGUCGAGGGGCAGCGGUAUCGAAAGCUUGCUUUCGGUAGCCGGCGACCGGCGCACGGGUGAGUAACGCGUAUCGAACCUGCCUCAUACUCGGGAAUAGCCUUGCGAAAGUAAGAUUAAUGCCCGGUGUUUUCAGAGUCCCGCAUGAGGCUUUGAACAAAGAUUUAUCGGUAUGAGAUGGCGAUGCGUCCCAUUAGCUUGUUGGCGGGGUAACGGCCCACCAAGGCAUCGAUGGGUAGGGGUUCUGAGAGGAGGGUCCCCCACAUUGGAACUGAGACACGGUCCAAACUCGUACGGGAGGCAGCAGUGAGGAAUAGUGAUCAAUGGGCGGAAGCCUGAACCAGCCAAGUAGCGUGCAGGAAGACGGCCCUCCGGGUUGUAAACUGCUUUUAGUUGGGAAUAAAACGGGGCUCGUGAGCCCCCUUGCAUGUACCAUCAGAAAAAGGACCGGCUAAUUCCGUG